GAUCUCCCUUAUCCCGCAGCACCUUAUCAGCUCAGUGGAAGGCUGGACCCUGAGGAGUUUCCCAAAUUUCCAGAGAGACAGGCUCUGCAUGACAGGAAGCCCGGGAGACCUCAUUGCAUUGCAGAAGGUUCUCUGUGUGCCUCUCUUCCCACAGAAGCUGAUGCCCUAUGAUGGGAGCAGCAGCUUGCUGUGCUUGGGGUCUCUAACCUCACAGCCCCCUGAAGUCAGGGGCAACUUUUCCUAGCAGAACUUCAGGACUGAAGCUAGCCUCAUCUUCACCUGCCUGGUGCCGGAAGACUGCUCUAUUUCAUGUUAGCUCCUGUGUCGGCAGGUUGUUAAGUGCAAAUCCAUCAGGCUCUGGACCUUCCCUGAGGUGGGAUGGGUGCUGAACAGCUUUGCCUCCGGCACGGGCACCCACCGUUCCUCUGCUUCGCCCAAGGACAAGGGAGGUGAGGCUGCCAGGCUGCCUCCGUUGAAGUAAAAGCCACCUUCCCUGCACAGACAAAGCUUGCUUCAGCCCGUCCUCUCCUGCCUGGCUGUUUACCAUCAUCUGGAAGAGCAGUGCUUUGCCUACGAGGACAGAGGAGGAGGUACAGCUUGAGAACCUGGAGUAACGGCUCUGCUCAGGCUUGGGAAAGCUGUACUUCUUUCAGGACUUGGCAGCACAGACAAUGCCUGGCAAGAAGCGCCCAGGUAUGCUGGCUGGCAUCUGACAUCCUGGGUAACUUCAGGAGAUUCUGUCCCUGAGUGAUAACACCUGGAGGACUAGGUCCUUCCAGCUCUGGCCAGAGGGUAAAAUAGUUCCACAGAUUUGCCCAACAUUUAGGAACUGUGCCCCAAAAGCCCUUGAAAAAAACUGUCUGGAGGCACAUGCUUAUUUUGUUCUCUUGUCACUCAAUCCCAUAAUGUUUAGGCCAAUGUAAGCUAAGACACUAGUACAUUACAGGUAGAUAAGCUGAGACCCAGGAACGUCAAAAGACCCAAUCCCAUACUCCACCGUGCUCCAGAUGUUCCUGCAAAUGGACACUUGAGUUUCUUGCCCUCAGUGCUCUUGGUGUUCUGGGUUGAGCAGUCCUUUGUCGGAGGCUGUUGUGGGCAUUGUGGAAGGCUCAGCGGCAGCCCUGGCUGCUGAGCUCAUCCCACUUGGCUCCUCAUUCUUGGAGCUCCCGGUACCUCAAUGCCAUCAGAUGUCUACGAGCUCACAACCACCACUCUGGCAGUUCCCCGUACCUCGUACCUCUGUCCACAGAAAAGGUCGAGUUUAGCAACCACUACCUGUGCACAUUCAGAUCUCCCGGUCAGUGCCUCACCAGACCAGCAUUUGUCAGCAGACUCUCCCGAGCGGGACAAGCGUGCCUGUUAUUAACUGAGGAAUCACCUUCCGGUUCUGCAGUCCUCCUUGUGAUGUUCCUGUGUGGCCCCGCAUGUGUGUGAGUGUGUGAGUGUGUGCGAGCAUGUGUGUGUGUGUUGUUUCUCUGAGUCUGAAAGAUCCUUUGAGAGUGGAGGAUUAUC